rnacentral:rRNA from 1 species
UACGUAGGGUGCGAGCGUUGUCCGGAAUUAUUGGGCGUAAAGAGCUUGUAGGCGGUUUGUCGCGUCUGCCGUGAAAAUCCGGGGCUCAACCCCGGACUUGCGGUGGGUACGGGCAGACUAGAGUGUGGUAGGGGAGACUGGAAUUCCUGGUGUAGCGGUGAAAUGCGCAGAUAUCAGGAGGAACACCGAUGGCGAAGGCAGGUCUCUGGGCCACUACUGACGCUGAGAAGCGAAAGCGUGGGGAGCAAGCAGG